rnacentral:rRNA from 1 species
GAUGAACGCUGGCGGCGUGCCUAAUACAUGCAAGUCGAGCGAACGGACGAGAAGCUUGCUUUUCUGAUGUUAGCGGCGGACGGGUGAGUAACACGUGGAUAACCUACCUAUAAGACUGGGAUAACUUCGGGAAACCGGAGCUAAUACCGUAUAAUAUUUUGAACCGCAUGGUUAAAAAGUGAAAGACGGUCUUGCUGUCACUUAUAGAUGGAUCCGCGCUGCAUUAGCUAGUUGGUAAGGUAACGGCUUACCAAGGCAACGAUGCAUAGCCGACCUGAGAGGGUGAUCGGCCACACUGGAACUGAGACACGGUCCAGACUCCUACGGGAGGCAGCAGUAGGGAAUCUUCCGCAAUGGGCGAAAGCCUGACGGAGCAACGCCGCGUGAGUGAUGAAGGUCUUCGGAUCGUAAAACUCUGUUAUUAGGGAAGAACAUAUGUGUAAGUAACUGUGCACAUCUUGACGGUACCUAAUCAGAAAGCCACGGCUAACUACGUG